rnacentral:lncRNA from 1 species
GAAGGCGCCGGCCUGAGAGCCUGAGGGGAGUCGCCCAGCGUGCGACGCUAGGCUCGGGCUUACGGCUCAAACAAGUUCAGGCUGCAGCCUGUUGGGCUUUGCCUUCAAUUACUUUCUGUGACCGUUGUGUUUUCUAUUCUACAGUCAGAGCACAGAAACGGUUUUCUUCGGGCUUUUGAAAGAGGUUUAUGAACUAAGCACCUGAUUUCCACCUAUAAUACUGUAAUUCAAUAACUUGUGUGAUAUAUGAGAAAUCCUGAAGUUCAUCACACUGUAACUGAAUUGCCAUUCCCACAACACUCCAGAGAGUUCUCUUGUCCUCUUUUGGCCAUGUGAGGAUACAAGAAGAUGGCAGUCUGCAACCAAGACGGCUCUCACCAGAACCCAACCAUGCUGGUAAUCUGAUCUCAGACUUCCAGCUCCAGAGCUGUAAGAAAUAAAUUUCUGUCGUUUAUAAGCC